CCUACGGGUGGCAGCAGUGAGGAAUAUUGGUCAAUGGACGAGAGUCUGAACCAGCCAAGUAGCGUGAAUGAUGACUGCCCUAUGGGUUGUAAACUUCUUUUAUAUGGGAAUAACAUUUUCCACGUGUGAGCUUUUGUAUUUACCAUAUGCAUAAGGAUCGGCUAACUCCGUGCCAGCAGCCGCGGUAAUACGGAGGAUCCGAGCGUUAUCCUGAUUUAUUGGGUUUAAAGGGAGCGUAGGUGGAUUGUUAAGUCAGUUGUGAAGUUCUGCGGCUAAACCGUAAAAGUGCAGUUGAGACUGGCAGUCUGGAGUAACGUAGAGGUGGGCGGAAGUCGUGGUGUAGCGGUGAAAUGCGUAGAGAUCACGAAGAACUCCGAUUGCGAAGGCAGUUCACUGGACUGAAACUGACACUGAGGCGCGAAAGUGUGGGGAUCAAACAGGAUUAGAUACCCCUGUAGUC
rnacentral:rRNA from 1 species